GUCUACAGCCAUGUCACCCUGAACAAGUCUGACGUCUGAUCUCGGAAGCUAAGCAAGGUCAGGCCUGGUUAGUAUUUGGAUGGGAGACCACAUGGAAGACCAGGUGCUGUAGGCA
rnacentral:rRNA from 1 species